AAACUGUUUUUCUUGAGUAGUGCAGAGGUAGGCGGAAUUCCCGGUGUAGCGGUGGAAUGCGUAGAUAUCGGGAGGAACACCAGUGGCGAAGGCGGCCUACUGGGCACCAACUGACGCUGAGGCUCGAAAGUGUGGGUAGCAAACAGGAUUAGAUACCCUGGUAGUCCACACCGUAAACGAUGAUUACUAGGUGUUGGAGGAUUGACCCCUUCAGUGCCGCAGUUAACACAAUAAGUAAUCCACCUGGGGAGUACGACCGCAAGGUUGAAACUCAAAGGAAUUGACGGGGGCCCGCACAAGCAGUGGAGUAUGUGGUUUAAUUCGACGCAACGCGAAGAACCUUACCAAGUCUUGACAUCCCUUGACAGGCAUAGAAAUAUGUUUUCUCUUCGGAGCAAGGAGACAGGUGGUGCAUGGUUGUCGUCAGCUCGUGUCGUGAGAUGUUGGGUUAAGUCCCGCAACGAGCGCAACCCUUAUGGUCAGUUACUACGCAAGAGGACUCUGGCCAGACUGCCGUUGACAAAACGGAGGAAGGUGGGGAUGACGUCAAAUCAUCAUGCCCUUUAUGACUUGGGCUACACACGUACUACAAUGGCGUUAAACAAAGAGAAGCAAGACCGCGAGGUGGAGCAAAACUCAGAAACAACGUCCCAGUUCGGACUGCAGGCUGCAACUCGCCUGCACGAAGUCGGAAUUGCUAGUAAUCGUGGAUCAGCAUGCCACGGUGAAUACGUUCCCGGGCCUUGUACACACCGCCCGUCACACCAUGAGAGCCGGGGGGACCCGAAGUCGGUAGUCUAACCGCAAGGAGGACGCCGCCGAAGGUAAAACUGGUGAUUGGGGUGAAGUCGUAACAAGGUAGCCGUAGGAGAACCUGCGGCUG
rnacentral:rRNA from 1 species